UAAAAUAGAACUAAAUGAAUGUUAUGUAGUAAUUUUAGGUUUUGUUUUCAAGUUAGUGACAGAAUUGGGAAAUGAAUUGGUCAACGGAAUUCUAUUUCUAUUUCAACGGAAAUACGGAAAGCAAAAGUCAAUUCCCAUACAAAUAAACCAACUCCUCAAAGUAGCAGGGGUGAAUGUGAGACUUGGAUGAAGUUAAAAUAUGUACAACACAAGUUUGUUUCCUUGGAAACCUUUCUAAAAAACUGUCAAACUUUGG